GAUGAGGUGCAUGCUUGUAUUGUCACAUGCGGAGGCCUGUGCCCAGGUCUUAACACGGUGAUCAGAGAGAUUGUGUGUGGCUUAUCUCAUAUGUAUGGUGUCACCAAGAUCCUUGGGAUAGAGGGUGGAUACAGGGGCUUCUAUGCUCGCAAUACUAUUUCCUUGACACCCAAGACGGUCAAUGAUAUUCACAAGAGAGGAGGCACCAUCCUUAACACAUCACGAGGUGGUCAUGACACUUCAAAAAUUGUUGAUAGCAUCGAGGACCGCGGGAUCAAUCAGGUCUAUAUCAUUGGAGGAGAUGGAACUCAAAGGGGUGCUUCUGUGAUUUUUGAGGAAAUUCAAAAGCGUGGCCUAAAAGUUGCUGUUGC
rnacentral:misc_RNA from 1 species